AACACAAUCACCUGGAGAUCUUGUUAAAUUGCAGACUCUGACUCAAGAGGUCGAGGGAAGGCCUGAGAGUCUGCAUUUCUAAUAAGCUCCCAGGUAAUGCCAGU
rnacentral:pre_miRNA from 1 species